UACGUAGGGGGCAAGCGUUGUCCGGAAUCAUUGGGCGUAAAGCGCGUGUAGGCGGCCCGGUAAGUCCGCUGUGAAAGUCCAGGGCUCAACCUUUGAAAGCCGAUGGAUACUGCGGAGCUAGAGUACGGAAGAGGCGAGUGGAAUUCCUGGUGUAGCGGUGGAAUGCGCAGAUAUCAGGAGGAACACCCGUGGCGAAGGCGGUUCUCUGGGACGGUACUGACGCUGAGACGCGAAAGCGUGGGGAGCGAACAGG
rnacentral:rRNA from 1 species